GGACUACUGGGGUAUCUAAUCCUGUUUGCUCCCCACGCUUUCGCGCCUCAGCGUCAGUAUCGGUCCAGUGAGCCGCCUUCGCCACCGGUGUUCUUCCCAAUAUCUACGAAUUUCACCUCUACACUGGGAAUUCCACUCACCUCUCCCGACCUCAAGCCGACCCGUCUCAAGCGCACCUCCCAGGUUGAGCCCAGGGCUUUCACGCCUGACAAAGUCGACCGCCUACGCGCCCUUUACGCCCAGUCAUUCCGAACAACGCUCGCCCCCUCCGUAUUACCGCGGCUGCUGGCAC
rnacentral:rRNA from 1 species